rnacentral:rRNA from 1 species
AACGAACGCUGGCGGCGUGGAUAAGGCAUGCAAGUCGGACGAGAUUUUCCGUUGUAGCAAUACGAUGGAAAGUCUAGUGGCGAACGGGUGCUUAACACGUGGGCAACCUGCCAUGAAGUGGGGGAUAGCUCGCCGAAAGGCGAAUUAAUACCGCAUGUGAUUAGAGAGGACAUCCUUUCGAAAUUAAAGUCGGGGCAACCUGACGCUUCUUGUGGGGCCCGCGGCCUAUCAGCUAGUUGGUGAAGUAACGGCUCACCAAGGCUUUGACGGGUAGCUGGUCUGAGAGGACGACCAGCCACACUGGGACUGAGACACGGCCCAGACACCUACGGGUGGCAGCAGUCGAGAAUUUUUGACAAUGGGGGAAACCCUGAUCGAGCGACGCCGCGUGGAGGAUGAAGGUCUUCGGAUUGUAAACUCCUGUCAUUGGGGAACAAUGCACAGAUAUUAACUGUAUUUGUGUUGAUAGUACCCGAAGAGGAAGAGACGGCUAACUCUGUGCCAGCAGCCGCGGUAA